GAUGGUCGGAGCUCUCCCAUCCCUGUCCUAUGCUGUCCCUUGCAAUCUCAUCCCCUGAAACAAGCUCCAGUUAAUUUCACCCAGCUAGAUCGGAAGGGC